AACUGGAUAGCUCAGCUUGGUCAGAGCAACGGAUCCGUAAUCCGUCUGUCGUGGGUUCGAUUCCCACUCCAAACCCCA
rnacentral:tRNA from 1 species